ensembl:misc_RNA Y_RNA Y RNA
GGCUGGCUUGAGUGCAUUCAUAUUUAUAGCUAUUUGAUCAAAACCUUGUUAGUUUCUUUGUUCCUUCUUGACUCCCACUGCUUCACUUGGCUAACCUUAA